ensembl:lncRNA
ACUCUGGAAAGAUAGAUCUCCAGGACCCAACUCCCAGCUGAGCUCACAAUUCCCGGGUCCCAGAAACCACAGUCCCCUGACUUCAAGGAUCUUGCAGAAACAGGGAGAUGAGAUACCACUGCAGUGGCGGACCCUGGCUCCAGCGGGGCUGGUCUGAUCCUUCUGUCAAGAUUCAGCUCAUUCCCAUGUCCUCUCCUCCAUUACUUCAAGGAGCAGUGGCAGCCCCCACACCCCCAAAGGCCACUCUCUCCCUUCUGAGGUUUGAAGCUGAUGGUGUCCCCCAUUUGACAGAUGGGUAUGAUGAGUUCUCUCUGCUAUGCUGGGACUUGUCCCCAACUUGGGCCGGGAGCUUCAUGAAGGUAGAGACACAACCCGUUCACCUAACUCCAGGCCAAUCAUUGGAGCACCUGCCCCAUAAUAAGACCCACAACAGGCCCGGGCUGGGGCCUUUCAGCAGAGGCUCCGACCCCUUGUCAGCCCCCUUUCCUCACCUCGACCACACCACGGCACCUGCUGCUGUAUCUGCCAGCACCCUGGGGGACACCAAGUCCCUUCUGACUGCAAGACCCAGGUUGCCUCUGGAAUGAGCCCAGUUAUCUAACCAGCAAAGGUGCCCACUUCCUCCUCCGCCUGCCAUAGAUGGGCAGAUUUUGCUGGAGCCUGAUGCUGGGAAGUGAGCACGUUUUGUGUUAAGAGCUUCUGAGCUCUGUGUACGCCAGGACCACAGCAGCUGUAAACACUGCAGCCUCCCUUCUCCAGCUAGAUAAACUUCAGGCUUCCAGGCAAGGCGCUGCCCCAGCACUCAGUGUUUAAAAAAGGUGUCAGCUGCCACCCACUCUCUUGGCAGAGGCCAGCUCUCCCUCUCCCAGCUGAAGGCCCCGAUUCUGAGCCACUGAUGCUCAGGCCUGGGGGGCAGGGGGCACAGAGCUCAUCUCCUAAUGGGGCCUGGCUGGGAAUCCUCUGGCUAACAGAUGAAGGGGGGCUGUCUGUGUGGAAUAAAUCCUGGAAUGCUCUGGAGACCCUGACGUCCUCCAGAAGCCCUGCCUGACCUAUGCAGACAUGUUCAUCUCAAGCUUCACAUCCUGUGAAAAUAAGGAUGCUACUCCCUUCACCCCUGACAGGGUGAUAUUUUCACCUGUAUCAUUUGGCAUUCAUUUAGUCACCUGACAUUUAUUGAGCAUCUACUGUGUGCUGAUGUGCCAGGCAUUAUACUGCCCUGCCACUCACAGCUACCUAAAAUUCCAUGUUAGGAAAGACUUAAACGAGUGAGACCAGCCCUAUCUAUAUCUGUAUAUGUUAGAUAGAGAUAUAGAUAGAUAGAUACAUAAUAUAUAUUAUAGAUAUAAGAUUCCCCAUCUCUCACCCCUGAGUCAUAUUUUAAAUUUUGUUCAUCAUUUUUAUUCAACCAACAUUUACAGGGUACCUACGAUGUGCGGGCCACUCUCCUAGACACUGGACAUAAACAAGAUACAAUCCAGGCUCCUGAGGAGCUGCCCACCCAUGUGACAGGGAUGUCACCAGGGAGGUGACCUCCAUGGGCCUCAGAAAGAGGAGGCAGACUGACCAGCAAAGGCUAUGCAGGACAGAAGGACACGAUUAGGGACGUGGCCCACCUCACUGGGAUGGGACCUGGGGCAAGCCUUCCCCUCUUCAGGGCUCCCCGUCCUCUUCUCCAAGUGAGAAAGUAGACUGGGGCUCCCGGGUCUUUGAAUUUCGUGGACAAUAUAUCAAAAACCUAACUGAGAGAGCCAGUCAGCUCACCAACGUUUUGUUCCACUGAGUAAGGAAUUUUAGAGAAAAACGAAAACCAGGCCAACAAUUACCAUCUGCCAUCACCAUUAUUUCAUGAGAGAGGGCAUUUUAACCCAAAAAAGCAGGAAGGGCAUAGUCUCAGAAUGAAGGCUGAGCCUUCAAACCGACUCACUCAGCUGAAUCAAGCUCGCUGUGCUGUCCUUGCCGUCCUCGUGCCGCCCCCUCCAGGGGAGCUUUGUGGUGACUAGAUGAUCCACGGCACUUUCUAGCACUAAUGUCCUGGCAGCUGCUGCGUGUGACCCACUGAAGCCGUGACCAAGAGGCCCAAGCCUAGUGCCAUCUCCAGGCGAGAGAGAGAGAGAGAGAGAGAGAGAGAGAAAGAGAGAGAGAGACACACGGUCAGGGGUCUCUAUCGGACAGUGUUGGAGGAGCACCCAGUCCCAACACUUCCUGGAGCCCGCUGUUCUCUCCCAUCCACUUCCCUCAUCCCCACAGCUGCUCCCCUCUUCUCCUCCCCAAACUCCCUGAGAAACAAUGCCCCUCCCGUCUCUAGUCUUCAGGCCUCCAGCCCAGAGGCCACAGGAGCAGAGGGGACCAGGAGCACUCGGCAGCUCAUGGCCUGUGUGAUGGGGGAGGCUGCCAUUCAGCCGUGGGGGACGCUCGUGUGCCUCCCACACGCCUUCAAGCUGCUGGGAGUGCUGGUGGCAGAGCAGUUGCCUCCGUGCAGAGAGCUGCCUUGUCUAAGGUCGCACCCCUUCUUGGGCAGCCUACAUCCAGGUACCAAUGUGGGCGUGUAGAGGCCUGGCCGCCUUUGCCCUACACAGGGCAACUCUACAGGGCCAUCCUAG